rnacentral:rRNA from 1 species
AGUUUCGGCCUCGCUGUUUGCAUGUUUGUGCGUUUUGGGUGUACUUUUUCGUAUGGUAGGCCAACGUCAGUUUCGAUUAUCAUAAAAUGACCGGCGGAAUGUAGCUUCGAUUUCGGUUGAAGUGUUAUAGCCUCUGGUAGAUGUGGUGAUUGAGACUGAGGAUUGCAACGAAUACCCUUUGGGCUAUCCGUCUGGCCUCUGAAAGUUGCUCAGGUGCCGAAAGCGUGCUUACGGUUAUCUAAGAUAACGUUCAACAGGUUAGAACGUGAUUACA